rnacentral:piRNA from 1 species
GAUAACGUUUUGGUGUUGCAACGAAAAUG